rnacentral:rRNA from 1 species
GAUGAACGCUGGCGGCGUGCCUAAUACAUGCAAGUCGAGCGAAUGGAUUAAGAGCUUGCUCUUAUGAAGUUAGCGGCGGACGGGUGAGUAACACGUGGGUAACCUGCCCAUAAGACUGGGAUAACUCCGGGAAACCGGGGCUAAUACCGGAUAACAUUUUGAACCGCAUGGUUCGAAAUUGAAAGGCGGCUUCGGCUGUCACUUAUGGAUGGACCCGCGUCGCAUUAGCUAGUUGGUGAGGUAACGGCUCACCAAGGCAACGAUGCGUAGCCGACCUGAGAGGGUGAUCGGCCACACUGGGACUGAGACACGGCCCAGACUCCUACGGGAGGCAGCAGUAGGGAAUCUUCCGCAAGGGACGAAAGUCUGACGGAGCAACGCCGCGUGAGUGAUGAAGGCUUUCGGGUCGUAAAACUCUGUUGUUAGGGAAGAACAAGUGCUUGUUGAAUAAGCUGGCACCUUGACGGUACCUAACCAGAAAGCCACGGCUAACUACGUGCCAGCCGCCGCCGUAA